rfam:Triticum aestivum genome assembly, contig: Triticum_aestivum_CS42_TGACv1_scaffold_160910_2DL
GUUGUACAACCUCCGUCCCAAAUUAUUUGUCUUAGAUUUGUCUAGAUACGGAUGUAUCUACAACGUGUCUAGAUACAUUUGUAUCUAGACAAAUCUAAGACAAGUAAUUUGGGAUGGAGGGAGUACUAC